AUAAAAAUGAAGAAAAACGCUCAGCUCUCAAUCUCAGUCUCCUCGCUUCAGCUCUCAAACCCGUAUAGAACACUAACCUCUCAAUCUCUCAAUCUUCUUAGGAAGAACCAUAAUCUCUCCAGCUCUCAAUCUUGAGAAGAAUUCCUUGCGGUGAAUCAUUCAGAGAAGAACUAGAGAGAAGAACUCAUUGCGUUUGUAAUCCACAAAUAAUGGUGAGCACAAACACAGUCUCCUAAGUUCAUCUCUCAAUCUCCAUUAAUCACUCAAUCUCCACCGUUUCUUCUCCAGUGCCCAAAGUUGAUAAUAUUGUGGUAAACAAUGGUAUUGGAGAAGCUGCACAGAAUGCAAACGGUUUGGACAAAGACCUGUUAACUCGGGCGAGGAAUUAUUUUGCCACCUUCAAGAUCAGGGAAGGUUAACCACUUGGAAAUUGCAAAAGUUUUAUCUUAACAUAUAAGUGUACGUAUAUGCAAGCAAUUUGUUGAUUGGAAAGGGAUCAUGUCCCCAUAAAUGUUAUUACUGAAGUGUAAAUAAUAUGUAAGUUGUUUCCUCAUUCUAUCAUCUUUGUGAAAUGGUGACCAAUUUCCAUUAACUUUUAUUUUUAAUUUCAGAUGAAAUUAGAGUUGAUUUUAAGAGUUUGAAAGAUGAAUUAUAAUAUUGGACCCGAAGUUCUUCAAAAUUAAAUUGUGAUUAAAUAAAACUUUGUAGCAUGUUAUCCGAGUUAAAUCAUUACUAAAUCUCAGAAUUUGCUGGAUAUAUCAUGUCAUGUGGUUUCAUUAGCAGGCUUGCUUUUGAUUUAUGUCUGCAUUAUAGUCAUUUCUUUUUUUAGUUUAGUUUAAUAACUUUGCUGUGGAUGGUUAGUAUUGGGCAAAUGUUGUUUUGUACUUGUAACAUUAGGUGACUUUUUAAAACUUUCUUUUUCUCAUUAUAUUGUACGAAAGUAUCCCAUCCAAUAUGUGUUGAUUCGUAAAAAUAUUAUAUAGUUAAAGCAGGAUCAUUUGCCAAUUUCAUUACCCUAGACAUUUCAGAAUGGAAUCCUUAGCAUUAUACUUUGCUGCUAACUUUAGAUUUAAUGAAGAAGACUUAAGAAAUGGUAAUUAUAUGAUUAGGUGCUGAAGGAACUUAUUUAUAUUCAUUAGUACUAACACUUCAUACUUCACACAUUAUCUUGGAAAAACAUAGCAACAUAUAUCAUUUCCCCUUUCUUAUCUCUUCCUUUUGUAGGAGAUUUUUGGAUUCUUUUGAUAUAAUUCCAUUUGCUAUUUGCUAUUCUAACCUGAGUUGAUAAUUGCUAUUCUGCUAAUUUCUAUUCUAACCUGAGUUACUAAUUGCUAUUCUGCUAAGUCACCUUUGUCAUCUAAUUGGAAAUUACUAGUUUUUUUUGGUGGAGGUAGUGCUUCAUAGUUUUUUCCCUGUGUUGGUAAAGAAACUUCACAUAUUUUGCCAUGUAUGCUUUGUUUAUGUUGCAUUUCUUAGAUGAUUAUAUGUGUUCAUGACAUGUGCUAAUUUUGUGCUUCUGAACUGGAUGUUUGGAGUCUUAUGUUUAUGCUUUUGUUCGAAGAACUUUGAAUUGGCAUGGUUGUAUGUUUUAUAUGAACAUGAGUGGUCCUUGAGUGAGUUACUUAGAGUUAUGAAUGGGAAGUUGACAUGACCUAAAUCAUCUCAAAUCAAAUUCAAGAUAUCCUUCAUUUAAAGAAGAACCAACCACUUGCAUUCCUAGGAUUAAUCAUGAAGUUAUUCAAGUGUUUCAAAGUCUUAAUGACUGAUUUUUCUCUGUCCCAUUCAUCCAAAAAUAGAUGAUGAAUUCGUGGAUAUGUAUUAUCAGAAGACAAGAAAGUGCAAGGAUACGCACACCGCAUAUGGACCUUGGGUUUUGGGGUAGCUGCUAAGUCUAAACGGGAUUGUAGGAAGUUGAUCCUAAUGGAAUUGUUUUGUUGCAUCAAGGAGAUAUAUGGGAGUAUUUGAGAAUGGAGGAUGAACUUUGAAUUUGAACUAAUGGGAUUGUUUUGGGAGUUUUAAUGUUGUCUGGUUAUAACUGUUUGUGUUUAUGCAAGUGUUUUUGUAUUUUAAUAUGCAAGUGUUUGUGUUAUGGUUAUAACUUAGACUUUUAUCUAAUUAUACUAUUUAACAGAAGGCUGUUUUACUUUCUAUAUAUUUUGCAUGUGUUGUUUUUGCAUUUGAAUUUGGUUUGUAUCAUCUGAUUUCUCUUUGGUGAUUGAAUUUCAUUAUGUGACUAAGAGUCUGUGUGUAAUUUUAAUGUCUUGGUUCAUGAAUGAUUGCUUCAAAUUGUGAUUGUUCUGUGGAGGACUCGGUUCAUUCUAUACUUUUUUUAAUAGUUUAAGUUUUAAGUCGUGUUUUUCGAAAAAGAAUUCUUGAUGCAAUGUUUGUUUGUUCAAGUUGUCAAGGACAUACGGGCAUAUUAGUAAAAUGUUUGAGUUGUUCAUAUUGUACUGAUUACCAUCUUGUGUUGUACAUGAUGAUUAUCGGAACCGUUUGACACAAGCCACACAAAAUGAUAAUAAUGUGGAUGGAUUACAAAAGCUACAAUUAUGGAAAGAAGCUGUCGGCGGUAGGUCACGAGGCCGGUGUUACGGAACUGCCCGAAUGACGGUCAACAUACAGUAUGGAGUAUCUUGACACAAGUGACCGUUUCAAACCCGAAUAGAGAAGCGGAGAGCCAAGCCAUUGAGGCGGCUAGAGCUGAGGCUUCUAGAGCACGUGAAGAGGUUGCAUUAGCUAAUUCACAUGCAGACGAAGCUAAUGCACGUGCAAGCGAAGCUAAAGCCGAGACAAAAAAUUUGAAAAGGAAAUUUGAAGAAUUUCAUAAAUAGAUGUUUGCUUGGCAGUCGGGUCAGACGGGUCCUUCCAUUUCUCCUUCUAGUGUCGAUCCUAAUACUUAUGGUCAUUACGAUGAUGACUUUGAUGAGCAGUCAGUAGAUCUAAAGGAAAUGAGUGAUAGAUGUUGAGUCAUAUGCAUUGUCUUUUUCUUAGUUUUUGAACUUGUUCAAAUUCUUGUAGAUUUUCACAAGUUUGAUAUUUUGUGUUAGUAUUUUGAUUUAACUUUGACAUCUUUAUGUAGUAAUAUUGUGGAUGGACACAAGUUUAAUAUAUUGUGUCAAUAUUUUGAUGUAA